AACGAACGCUGGCGGCAUGCCUAACACAUGCAAGUCGAACGAGACCUUCGGGUCUAGUGGCGCACGGGUGCGUAACGCGUGGGAACCUGCCCUUAGGUUCGGAAUAACUCCCCGAAAGGGGUGCUAAUACCGGAUAAUGUCUUCGGACCAAAGAUUUAUCGCCUUUGGAUGGGCCCGCGUUGGAUUAGCUAGUUGGUAGGGUAAAAGCCUACCAAGGCGACGAUCCAUAGCUGGUCUGAGAGGAUGAUCAGCCACACUGGGGCUGAGACCCGGCCCAGACUCCUACGGGAGGCAGCAGUGGGGAAUAUUGGGCGAUGGGCGAAAGCCUGAUCCAGCCAUGCCGCGUGAGUGAUGAAGGCCUUAGGGUUGUAAAGCUCUUUUACACGGGAUGAUAAUGACAGUACCGGGAGAAUAAGCUCCGGCUAACUCCGUG
rnacentral:rRNA from 1 species